CAUUGUUGGUAGAUAUGAUGAGGACUGUGUCGUCAUGUUUUCACAACGAGGCGGACACUGGGAUGACGUGCCUUGUGGGUGGCCGAAUGGAAUGGCCGUGAAACAUGUUGGCAUUUGUGAAUACAGGAUACAGACUUCCGGAUCAAUAAUUGGGAAAUGAACUUAUGUUACAAGACGGUUUAUUGUUAUCACAAAGAGUUAAUAAAACAUAAGUUUUA